rnacentral:rRNA from 1 species
UACGAAGGGGGCUAGCGUUGCUCGGAAUCACUGGGCGUAAAGCGCACGUAGGCGGAUCUUUAAGUCAGGGGUGAGAUCCUGGAGCUCAACUCCAGAACUGCCUUUGAUACUGGGGAUCUCGAGUCCGGGAGAGGUGAGUGGAACUCCGAGUGUAGAGGUGAAAUUCGUAGAUAUUCGGAAGAACACCAAUAGCGAAGGCAGCUCGCUGGGACGGUACUGACGCUAAGGCGCGAAAGCGUGGGGAGCAAACAGG